rnacentral:rRNA from 1 species
GGAUAACUCCGGGAAACCGGGGCUAAUACCGGAUAAUAUUUUGAACUGCAUGGUUCGAAAUUGAAAGGGCGGCUUCGGCUGUCACUUAUGGAUGGACCCGCGUCGCAUUAGCUAGUUGGUGAGGUAACGGCUCACCAAGGCAACGAUGCGUAGCCGAUCUGAGAGGGUGAUCGGCCACACUGGGACUGAGACACGGCCCAGACUCCUACGGGAGGCAGCAGUAGGGAAUCUUCCGCAAUGGACGAAAGUCUGACGGAGCAACGCCGCGUGAGUGAUGAAGGCUUUCGGGUCGUAAAACUCUGUUGUUAGGGAAGAACAAGUGCUAGUUGAAUAAGCUGCCACCUUGACGGUACCUAACCAGAAAGCCACGGCUAACUACGUGCCAGCAGCCGCGGUAAUACGUAGGUGGCAAGCGUUAUCCGGAAUUAUUGGGCGUAAAGCACGCGCAGGUGGUUUCUUAAGUCUGAUGUGGAAGCCCACGGCUCAACCGUGAGGGUCAUUGGAAACUGGGAAACUUGAGUGCAGAAGAGGAGGGUGGAAUUCCACGUGUAGCGGUGAAAUGCGUAGAGAUGUGGAGGAACACCAGUGGCGAAGGCGACUCUCUGGUCUGUAACUGACGCUGAGGAGCGAAAGCGUGGGGAGCGAACAGGAUUAGAUACUCUGGUAGUCCACGC